GACGAACGCUGGCGGCGUGCCUAAUACAUGCAAGUCGAACGAGAGCGACCGGUGCUUGCACUGGUCACUCUAGUGGCGAACGGGUGAGUAACACGUGGGUAACCUGCCCAUCAGAGGGGGAUAACAUCCGGAAACGGAUGCUAAGACCGCAUAGGUCUUCGAGCCGCAUGGCUUGAAGAGGAAAAGAGGCGCAAGCUUCUGCUGAUGGAUGGACCCGCGGUGCAUUAGCUAGUUGGUGAGGUAACGGCUCACCAAGGCCGUGAUGCAUAGCCGACCUGAGAGGGUGAUCGGCCACAUUGGGACUGAGACACGGCCCAAACUCCUACGGGAGGCAGCAGUAGGGAAUCUUCCGCAAUAGACGCAAGUCUGACGGAGCAACGCCGCGUGAGUGAAGAAGGUUUUCGGAUCGUAAAACUCUGUUGUUAGAGAAGAACAAGUGCUAGAGUAACUGUUAGCGCCUUGACGGUAUCUAACCAGAAAGCCACGGCUAACUACGUG
rnacentral:rRNA from 1 species